rnacentral:rRNA from 1 species
CCUACGGGUGGCAGCAGUGGGGAAUAUUGCACAAUGGGGGAAACCCUGAUGCAGCGACGCCGCGUGAGUGAAGAAGUAAUUCGUUAUGUAAAGCUCUAUCAGCAGGGAAGAAAAUGACGGUACCUGAGUAAGAAGCCCCGGCUCACUACGUGCCAGCAGCCGCGGUAAUACGUAGGGGGCAAGCGUUAUCCGGAUUUACUGGGUGUAAAGGGGGCGUAGACGGCAGUGCAAGUCUGGAGUGACAGGCGUGGGCUCAACCCCAGGACUGCUCUGGAAACUGUACGGCUGGAGUGCAGGAGAGGUAAGUGGAAUUCCUAGUGUAGCGGUGAAAUGCGUAGAUAUUAGGAGGAACACCAGUGGCGAAGGCGGCUUACUGGACUGUAACUGACGUUGAGGCUCGAAAGCGUGGGGAGCAAACAGGAGUAGAUACCCGAGUAGUC